CGAACCACCAACGCUGAUCCCAAGAAGCUGAAGAUAAUAGAACGUGUCGAGCUUCGGAUUCGUCAAUAACGUCGUGAAGACGGAGGUCUCUCGAACGGCGUCGUUUCCGAAGACGAUAGUCGACGGAGGUUUGGAAGCGGAACCGGAACUCGUCCGGUCGACUAAACAGUAAGAGAAUUUAGCGUUGUAACGGUUUUUCGUCUGCGAGGGAAACGAUAACCCUCCGCGGCCCAGGCCCAACAGCCCAGCCGCACCGACGAACAAGCCUUCGUUAUCGUGACCGCAUCCUAAGGCCACGUGAUCCACACGUGCGCCGUGAAACGUCAGCGUUUCGGUGGAGAAAUCUCCCAUGGUGAAAGACCCGUCACCGUAGGAGACUUGAUAGAGACAUGUCUUGCUUCUUUACAGAUAUACCAGACUGAGUUGUAUUGAACCAUUUAAACUCUUCAUGACAUGAGAACAAGCCAGAGAAAACAAAGAAGCCACAACCCAAGUUUACAUCAUAGAUCACAGACAAAGCCCCUAAUUACAACACUUCUCCACGGUUGACACACUCCGACGACGACUCGUCUAGUCUCCGACAGAGAGGAGAACCGCAUGGGACGGUGGCAAAGGUUUUUGACUUAGCCGGGUCGAACAUCGGGUCGGAUUGGCUCCUCCUCCACCUUCACCACUUUGCUGCUGCUCUUUCCAGAUUCUUCCAGUGACUCGCAGUUUCAGCUCUUUCCUGUCUCCACCUGAGAAGAAUAGAGCCAUGUUCCUCUGUAUGAUUAGCCCAUCAUGACUGUCUCUAACUUUCCUGUGACUGUCUCUUACGCUUCUCGGCGUUCCUUCCCAAAUCAGCUUCCGACCAUAACCUCCCACUUCCAAACUGUAGUUGUAGUUCCGAGCUUCUGUCUCGUCCCCCAUGAAACGCAGGAUUGCCAUGUAGACUGGAGCCAUACCGAGCUGGAAUGCCUCAAAGUGGAGACAGAAGUAUUGACCAAAGCAGUGAAAGACCUGACACAAAAAAAACCAAAAAGACAGAAACUUUGAUAAGCCUAUGGGACGGUUAUAGAUGAUUGAAUCAUAUGUAGUCUUACGGUUAACAUCCACGUGGCGUUUUCGACUUCGCGAGGAUUAGACUUGACAUAACGGUGGUUGAAAGUACACCCAGAAUGCAUAUCCACCUUGUGAUCAUCCCUCAGAUGAGCAACUAAGAAAGGUAUAUCACCCAUGACAGAACACUCGGAACCAGCGUAGGGACAGUUAUAAGGCCUGAAGUUACAAACAGUCUCGUGUUUGAGCUUACUGUAAUAAGGAAAUAUCUCAGGACAGCCAAGAGACAUGUAUUUGCACGGUAGCUCAAGGGACUCGGCUACUUUUUCGAGUGCCAAGCAACGGAUAUCACCGAGCUCUUGUCUACAAGUAGGGCAUCGAUUGUGAACCCUGUUCUUACAAGUUGAACAUAGAGUAUGUCCAUUGUGACACUGCAGAGGGAAUCAAAAUCUUUGUGUUAAGCAAAGAGACAAUCAAAAGGCCCUGAAACCAAUCAAGAGAGGAAAGAUCCGGGAACUGAAAAGUAAGGCAAAUUCAGACAGCAAUAGAUUGAAGUGUUUUGUCCGAAAAUACUCUAAAGAGGCAAUCAAAAAGCUGGUAGCUUUGGUAAUGUUUCUUAAGAGAGCACAUAAAAAACCCUAAAACCAAUCAAGAAAGCAAAGAUCCGGGAACUGAAAAGCAGGGGAAAAUUCAGACAACAAGAGAUUAAAAUAGAGUAUCAAACCAUAGUGUAAGUGUUUUGUCCGAAAAUUCUCUAAAGAGACAAUCUUAAAAGCUAAUAGCUUUGGCAAUGUUUCUCAAGAGAGCACACAGAAAAACCCUAAAACCAAUCAACAAAGCAAAGAUCCGGGUAACAAAGAGAUUGAAACAGAGUAUCAAACCAUAGUGUAAGUGUUUUGUCCGAAAAAUUCUCUAAAGAGACAAUCAAAAAGCUUAUAGCUUUGGCAAUAUUUCUCAAGAGAGAGCACACAAAAAAACUAAAAGCAAUCAACAAAGCAAAGAUCCGGACAACAAAGAGACUGAAACAGACCUGAUGAAUAGGAGGGUACAUAGAAUUGGUGCAGACAGGACAUUCGAGAAGCUCGUGAACACUGGUGGUGGUCGGAAGAAGACCAGAAGCAGCAUUCGCGUUGCUGUUAUUACUGUGAUGCUUCGAAACCGAUGCGUAGGAAUGGCGAUCUUGGUGGAUCUCUUCGUCAUCUGUGACAUCUAUGGUUGAAGCACAGUCCAUGCUAUCCAAAUCCAUCAAAAAGGUGAAAACUUUAUUAAUCUCCGAUCGAGAGGAAGAUCGAAUCCGAUGGAUUGAAACGCCAACGAAUCAGGUCAACCUUCGUGAAGUGUUGAUUUCGAAGAAAGAGAGAUGCUUUUCUUCAUUGAGAGAGAGAGAGAGAGUUGCCGUCAAAUGAACAGGCAACGCUGAUUUGAUAUCGGACGGUCAGGAUUAUUCAGGAAGGGCGACUGUGUUGUAUAGAGAGAAUGUUAUUUGGGAAACUUUAAUUUAUAUGAGCGGAAAUAAUCAUUUAAUAAUAAUAUCUUCUUACUCAUCAAUGAUUUUUUUUGUGUUUUAAUUAAAUGUUAAAAUAUUUUAAUUAAAAAUUACUCCAUAAUAAAGGGCCAUGGUCCAGUAAAGAUGGGGGGCUAAACAUGUACAUGGUGGACAUGAUUGCAUAUUAUGAUGAGUUUUUCAGUUUUCAUUCAAUAAGAUUUGUGGUCUUUUAAUUCUCAAUACAAAGUUACUCAAAACCAACGUAAAUAGAUGAUUUGUAGGAACAUCCAAUCCAAUCCAAUAAGAUAAAUAUAAUUGUUGAAUGAUAAUAGAAUCGAUGUAAUAAUUAUAUAAUUUGUAAUAAAAUAAAAAUUAAUGUUAAAAACGUCAAGCAGUCACUAAAGAAACUCCAAAGCAACAUGGUAAAACGUUACUCAUCUUUAUUUUAACUUUCAUAAAAACUCUAAAGUAAUAGAUCAAGUUAAAUAACUUUUAGACGUUAAGAAAAUGAAUUCUGAGAGACAAGAAUCUAAUGGAAUGUCGCUUGGGUUGAAAGCCACUUAAAAGACUAAUGAUAAUGUAAAAAGAACAUUUUACUCUUCUUCAUCUCAACAAGCAAACUCACAUUUUUCUUUUAAAGAAUGAACGAAAAUUAUUCCAAUAAAAUAAUUGGUCUCAUGAUAAUAGUGAUCAUCCUUAAAGACACAACACGUAAAGGAGAAAAAGCAAACAACAACGAUCCAGCUUUCAUGAUCUGUCAUUACUUUUUAACAGAACAUGUCGUUGUACAAUCCUCUUCAUGUUGGGAUCUUGUCUGAGAAAAGAAAAAGCUCCAGAGACUCUAAGAUCUGACAUAAGAACUGUUUCUACACAAGUUUUGCCUCAGUAACACAGAGAUCAAUCAUUAUACAAUCUGAUUAUUCAUGCACAAAAGAAUCAAAUUUAUGGCCUUUCAGGAUCCGAGAAUGACUGGUUAGUUUAUUUGUUACCACUGGUUAGCCGAUGUUUCCCGGUACUUCUCAUCAUCAUUGCCCUGAGGCAACUGCUUUGGUUUAGUACCUUUUGCCCGGUUACUUGACAGUCUCUUGGAUAUUCUAUCUUUAGCGGUUGUUUUCUUACGCCGUGCCAAGGAAAAGGUUUGCUUCUUGUUUUUCCUUUCAGCAAAAACUCUAUCAAACUCUUCGUCGAUGACAGCUGAUUUAGAAGUUGAGGCUAGAGCAGCAUCACGCAGAACUGAAAAGUUAUGUUCCUUAACCUUAGCAUGCUUUGCUCGCUUUGCUAUUUUCUUCAAGUCUUCUCUGUCUUUCUCCCUGAUAUUCUUCAGAGCUUGUUUCGCUAUUUGCCUAGCUAACUGAUUAGGAUCAGAAUCUGAAGUUGUUUCAUCCAUAGGCGCGUCAUCCUCCUGGCUGAUCCCUGUAGUUGAGGAGGAGGUUUGGUUUUGACUCUCCUCUAACGAAGAUUCGUUGAUUAUGGGGUUUCCUUCAUCAUCCCGAGGUACAAUGGGUCCAUGAAACGGGCAGGCUCGUAGGUCUCUUCUGUGGCAAAGACCACCUUUCUUUAGAGGAGCAUGGCAUGGAGGUAUCUCCGUUCUCUCUUCUCUAUAGACAGUUGCCUGAAGAUUCAGUUCUGCUAUUUUAUCUGCUGGAAUCACAGCGUCUUGAUCCACCCUGCCCCAGUGGCUCUCAACCUCUAAGCCUCGGUGAUUAGCUCGGACUUCCGUUGUUGAGUCCCAAUUACUCAGCUGUGAUCCCCAACUCAUCACCGGUGCUUCAGAAAUUAGCUUAUCCCUAAGAGGGUCACCACUUCUUACAACCGUUUUAGUACUGGACGCCUUGUUGGAGCUAGAUUCUAAUGUAGACCUCUUAGCUUUACUUGGUGAUCUGAAGGAUGAACCCUCACCGUUCUGAACUCUCGGCAAAGGAGCCACCUUUUUGACUGGAUCAGUUCCAACCUUGCCAUCAUCUUCCUCCCAGAUAUCUUCUUCAUCUUCUUCUUUCUCGCCAGUGUCAAUCAUUCUCGAGAUUAUAAAACCAGCUUGCUCACAUUUCUUCUCAGUUGCUAAUAUGCUAUUCCUAAUAUCAAUCAACUCUUUCAACAUGGAAUCUCUCGUCCUGUUAUCACUUACAUCAACCCUGAUGAGAAGAGAGAUCCCAUCUUGAACCGAGACCAAAUGCUUUUUCAUCAGAAGCUUCCCCUGUUCCCUCAACACAUCAAACACCACUCUGUUUUCACUAGUUUCCUCAACCUUAUCAGACUGCUUCAGCGAAUCCAUACGAAUCUGCCUCAGAUGAGAACAACGUAUCUCCUCGUAAUCCUCCUCAUCUAAAAUCGCAAGUGGAACACCAUCAUCCCCUCUCCACUGAACAAUCGCCAGACCCUCCUUGAUCUCCUUUAUCGUCUCCUCAAUCUCACCCUUCAAGACCCCAAACCCAUCUCUCAAAGACUCAAACUUGCUUCUCAAAAUCUCCUUCGUCCUCUCCUCUCUCUCCAGCCUCUCUCUUUGUCUCCGCGCAGCGGUUGCCUGCAGAUCAGGGAACUUGAGCUUGAGGGUGUUCUUAAGGGAAUCAAAACCAAGCCUAAUCUCCUUGUAGUGUAACCCAAAUGAUAGAUUCCACUUCUCCAAGAACUCGAUAGCCUUUGUACGCAAAGUGGUGGCAACAGCUGGCGGCGCAGGAAGAGGCAGGCUGCUUCUAAACCCAACGCUUAAACUCAAGAGCUGAUCAAACUUCUCAACUAUUAGAUAUCUAAAGAGCUUUGAUCUCAUGAAAAGCUCGUCGAUGAUGAGAAGCGUCAAUAAUCGAACCUACCAAAGAUAAAACUCUUAUCAACAUGAAUGUGAAGAAAAGUUCCAAUCUUUUGCAGAAUUGAUCAAUUUUCAAACAAGCCCAGAAUGUAAGGAUUAAGAACCUGAGAGUGGUUAUGUUUCAUGAGCUCCAUUAGGGUUUUGGCACCGAGUCGGACCUCCGAAUCGGAAUAGCGAAGAGUUAAUUUGAUCGCCUUGAGCAGCCUCGGGUCAACCUCUUGGGCAGACGACUUUGUAGCUUUCUCUAUCAACCCGAUAACUUUUCCUCCGCCGUCAUCUCUCCCUUCCAUCGCCGGUGAUCGGGGAUUCAGAAAUCUCCUCUCUCUCGUUUCCAAUUAAAAACCUAAAAGAUGAAUUUUCCGAUUUGUGUUGGUUUAAUAUAUGUUAACAACACUGUGCGAGUCGGUUUACUUGGUUGACGUAUUGACAUAUUUGCCCCUCGUUUCGUAUUUGUUGGUUUACUUGCCCCUCGUUUCUGAUUGUUGGUUUAGUUUUAUCUGUUUCUACUGGGAUGCUCGGUUUACUUGGUUCCCCGCAAUCAUUGAAAUGACGUAGUUGCCCCUGUGUUAAAAAAACUCCGUGCAUCAGUCUUUAUGGGUCUUCAUGUAAUUAGAUCAAAGAUCGUUUAUAUAGUUAAAGUCAGUUACAGAUGUUCCCACCAAAAUCAUCACUCAACCCAGUCGAGAGAAAACGAAAAACAGAGAGACUAUCGUUGACGAUGAUGAUUCCAUCUUUCUGGAUUCUCGCGAUCUUUUCCAUCUCAAUGGCUUCAUCCUCCACGAUUCCAUCUCUACGAGGUAAAAAUCUGGUGAUUCUGUUAUGAUUUCCCGAGAAAAUUUGAAUCAAACAGAGGCUCAGUUUCCAUGUUCGUCCUCUUUCUCUCGUUUUCCUUCACUUUCUCGCUUGUUCUCCAGGUCCAGGAAUCGGAACCAACUACGGACGAUACAGCUCAAAUCUCGGAGGUAAUCUUUACAUUCUGUUACGAAUCCCGAGAAAAUUUGAGAGAUUGUUCUUCAACUCUUCGCUUGUUUCUUGAUCGUUUUUCAAUCACUUUCCGGGAAAAUUCGAUAGAAAGCUCUUCUUCAGUUAUUGAUCGUUUUCUUCUUUAAUCCAGUUCCAGAGAUCGGAAUCAACUACGGCCGUUACGGCUCAAACCUCCCACCACCAGAAGCCUUACCAUCACUCGUAACCUCUCUCUCCAUCAAACACGUCAAAACCUUCGACAUGGACCCAAGAAUCACCACCUCCUUCGCCAACACAGGCAUCUCCCUCUCCCUCUGCAUCCCCAACGACAAGAUCCCUCUCCUCUCCACCAACCUGUCCGAAGCCGACUCCAUCAUCAGAGCCUUCAUCUUACCUUACCACAAAACCACCAUCAUCACCUCAAUCUCCGUCGGCAACGAAGUCUCCCUCCUCCCUCCGUUCACCCCACACUUAGUCUCCGCUGUAGUCAACGUUCACCGAGCGAUCAAGCGCUACAGAUUGCACAAGAAGAUCAAAGUGACAACCACUCACUCCUUAGCGAUCCUCUCGCGGCGUUUCCCUCCCUCGACGGCGAGGUUCCAUAACUCGAUCGGCGAAUCGGUGUUGAAGCCGCUCGUUAGGUUUCUGCAGAGGACCAAGUCUCCUCUCAUGGUGAAUGUCUACCCUUACUUGGCGUACAAGCAAUCGUUCCCUUCGAUUCCGUUGGAUUUCGCUUUGUUUCAGCCCGUGAACGGAUCUAAGCGGCGGAUGUAUAGAGAUCCGUACAGUGGAGUCGCGUACACUAACUUGUUCGAUAUAAUGAUGGACUCGGUGGACUCUGCUGUGAAGGCUCUGGGGUUACCGAAGAUUCCGGUGGUUGUGUCGGAGAUUGGGUGGCCGUCGAGUGGUGAUCCAGGCGAAGUGGCGGCGAGUUUGGAGAACGCGAGGGUUUUUAAUCAGCGGUUGGUUGAGCAUUUGAGGAGAGGGGAGGAGAAGGUUACUGUGUAUAUCUUUGCUCUGUUUGAUGAAGAUCAGAAGAGUGGAGCCACUGUGGAGAAGCACUGGGGGUUGCUGUAUGGUAAUGGAUCGAAGAAGUAUGAUCUGAAUAUCUCGCCGCCGGUUUGAAAGUUUGAGCGUCGCGAAGAGAGAGAAGAUUGUUUUGUAUAUGGGCCUUUGUUUUUUUCAUGGGCCGUAGAUCAACAUGUUAGCUAACCAGGUCUUUUGUAAACCAUAAAUAGAUAUAAAAAUUUGGAAAUAAAUAAAUAAAUGGAGUUGUUUGAGUGUUUGGACUCGUUUUUUUUUUGACCUUUUAUGUCACGUUCAAAUAUGACAUAGAUUCGAUUGUACUUUGUCAUUUUCUUUAGGACAUAUAUCUAACAAGACAUUUGUCUCUGGAUAGAUCUGAAAUGCAAAUUGUCAUCUUGUUACGGAAAGUUGUCGUCCAUUCGAAAUUAUAUGUAACAAUUCGAUAUUUAUAAUAUAGAUGAAAUAAAAAUUUAGAAGCGCAAGUGCAAGUGAUCAUAUCUCCACUAUAAGUGCAAGUAAGUGAGAAGAGAUAUUUGCGGAGGAAACAGUGGGAAAGGGGUGAGUAGUGGGUAUAAAACUGGUGGCUCGUCAUUCGGUGGCUGCAUUAUUCUGACCAUAUAUGGAUCCAUGUGCCGCACUGCACUUUGUCUCUGGAUCGUCAUGUAGGAUGUGUUUUUCAAUCUCAUUUCUGAUUAUUAAUCAUUAUUAUUGAUUUCUUAUUUUUGACGAAAUUGUUUUUUUUAAUCAAGAAAUUGUUUUGUUUCGGUUGCCAAAAUAUACAAUGCUUCUUAAUACACAUUAAUACACAUAAGACCAAGAACUGUCCCAUCUCUACACUCUCUCACUCACAUGGAGAGAAAACAAUAAGAGUCUUUGUCCACCCUGUAUUAGCGAUACAUGUCGUUUACGAUGCAUAUAUAUGUAUACAUUCAUAUAAAAAUAUUGAGAUGCACCAGACUGAAACUAUAUAUGUAUUGCAUUUGAGUACCAAACAACAAGGAUGAAUCACGAAAAACAUUAAUGAAUAGCUAGUAGUUAUUCAAAUAAUUCGUUUAGUUGGGAAGCAAGAUUGUGAAGAAGAUUCACGUGAACCUAAUUAUUUGUAACAAAACCUAUUACGAAAUUAGGUAAGUUGGAUGUAUUAAGAAUUCGGGUGAGCUAGUCUAGUGGAUGACAAUUGAGGUAAGCUUCUAAAUUUUGGUGCAUAUAACUUUUAUAAAGACUCUAUACAUGUUUUUGGAUUAAAUAUUCAGUGGCUCAAUUUAUGACCAAGUGCUCUCUAGAGUUAGUUGAAGAAAUUUCAAGAUGUUUUAGUUUGUCAAAAGAUGUACAACACUGUGAAUGUGAUGGUAAUUAAAGAUAUUUCAAAGAAUACAUUACAUUUAAGAUUUACUUCUCUUUGAGUUAACAUAAAGAACUUUUUUUAACACAAGUCACUGAAUGAGUAAAUUCUCCUCCACUCAUGUCACAGAUUCAGUUAAAAAAUGAUCCAUCAUGAAAUCAUCAUUAAUGAGUAAUGAGUGGUAUGAUGAAUAGAUGAUGUCAUGUUGACGACAAAUAUGGAUAAAAUUCUUAUUUUUAAAAUUGUUCUUUGGGAAUAAUUAAUCAGUCAAGUCAGACACAAAAACCUAACAUGCGCCAGACAUAAACCCGACCCGUGACCCGACUAAGUCGUAAGCCACACGGAAACCUUGUUGCUGUAUGUUCCCAAUAAUCGACAAACUCCCCAUUGUGCCGGCGAACGCAAAACAGAACCGCCCUUGACUGUUCACCGGAAUAAGAUAAUUACUUGCCGGAAGCGAAACAUCUCCUCCGCUGAAAUGAAACACCACCGUCGGAACUUUCACCGUCGUCAUCCCGGAAAGAUCGAAACACGUGUCGAACAGAGAAUACGACGGAGCACGUUUAAGCCUCGUCGCUCCGAGAAGAAACGCAUCUCUGAACGCCACAUAAGCCGGUCGAGUCAGCCGAGUAACCGAAGUACCGGAAUCUAUAAUCACUCCGCCGUCUCCGGUGGGGUCAAGCUUAAACUGCGACUCCGAGACGCCGGGAACGCGCGAACCACCAACGCUGAUCCCAAGAAGCUGAAGAUAAUAGAACGUGUCGAGCUUCGGAUUCGUCAAUAACGUCGUGAAGACGGAGGUUUCCGGAACGGCGUCGUUUCCGAAGACGAUAGUCGACGGAGGUUUGGAAGCGGAACCGGAACUCGUCCGGUCGACUAAACAGUAAGAGAAUUUAGCGUUGUAACGGUUUUUCGUCUGCGUAAGCUUCUAAAUUUUGGUGCAUAUAACUUUUAUAAAGACUCUAUACAUGUUUUUGGAUUAAAUAUUCAGUGGCUCAAUUUAUGACCAAGUGCUCUCUAGAGUUAGUUGAAGAAAUUUCAAGAUGUUUUAGUUUGUCAAAAGAUGUACAACACUGUGAAUGUGAUGGUAAUUAAAGAUAUUUCAAAGAAUACAUUACAUUUAAGAUUUACUUCUCUUUGAGUUAACAUAAAGAACUUUUUUUAACACAAGUCACUGAAUGAGUAAAUUCUCCUCCACUCAUGUCACAGAUUCAGUUAAAAAAUGAUCCAUCAUGAAAUCAUCAUUAAUGAGUAAUGAGUGGUAUGAUGAAUAGAUGAUGUCAUGUUGACGACAAAUAUGGAUAAAAUUCUUAUUUUUAAAAUUGUUCUUUGGGAAUAAUUAAUCAGUCAAGUCAGACACAAAAACCUAACAUGCGCCAGACAUAAACCCGACCCGUGACCCGACUAAGUCGUAAGCCACACGGAAACCUUGUUGCUGUAUGUUCCCAAUAAUCGACAAACUCCCCAUUGUGCCGGCGAACGCAAAACAGAACCGCCCUUGACUGUUCACCGGAAUAAGAUAAUUACUUGCCGGAAGCGAAACAUCUCCUCCGCUGAAAUGAAACACCACCGUCGGAACUUUCACCGUCGUCAUCCCGGAAAGAUCGAAACACGUGUCGAACAGAGAAUACGACGGAGCACGUUUAAGCCUCGUCGCUCCGAGAAGAAACGCAUCUCUGAACGCCACAUAAGCCGGUCGAGUCAGCCGAGUAACCGAAGUACCGGAAUCUAUAAUCACUCCGCCGUCUCCGGUGGGGUCAAGCUUAAACUGCGACUCCGAGACGCCGGGAACGCGCGAACCACCAACGCUGAUCCCAAGAAGCUGAAGAUAAUAGAACGUGUCGAGCUUCGGAUUCGUCAAUAACGUCGUGAAGACGGAGGUUUCCGGAACGGCGUCGUUUCCGAAGACGAUAGUCGACGGAGGUUUGGAAGCGGAACCGGAACUCGUCCGGUCGACUAAACAGUAAGAGAAUUUAGCGUUGUAACGGUUUUUCGUCUGCGAGGGAAACGAUAACCCUCCGCGGCCCAGGCCCAACAGCCCAGCCG
rnacentral:lncRNA from 1 species